UACGGGGGGGGCAAGCGUUGUUCGGAAUUACUGGGCGUAAAGGGCUCGUAGGCGGCCAACUAAGUCGGACGUGAAAUCCCUCGGCUUAACCGGGGAACUGCGUCCGAUACUGGCAGGCUUGAAUCCGGGAGAGGGAUGCGGAAUUCCAGGUGUAGCGGUGAAAUGCGUAGAUAUCUGGAGGAACACCGGUGGCGAAGGCGGCAUCCUGGACCGGUAUUGACGCUGAGGCGCGAAAGCCAGGGGAGCAAACGGG
rnacentral:rRNA from 1 species